GGUUAAGCGACUAAGCGUACACGGUGGAUGCCCUGGCAGUCAGAGGCGAUGAAGGACGUGCUAAUCUGCGAAAAGCGUCGGUAAGGUGAUAUGAACCGUUAUAACCGGCGAUGUCCGAAUGGGGAAACCCAGUGUGUUUCGACACACUAUCAUUAACUGAAUCCAUAGGUUAAUGAGGCGAACCGGGGGAACUGAAACAUCUAAGUACCCCGAGGAAAAGAAAUCAACCGAGAUUCCCCCAGUAGCGGCGAGCGAACGGGGAGGAGCCCAGAGCCUGAAUCAGUGUGUGUGUUAGUGGAAGCGUCUGGAAAGGCGCGCGAUACAGGGUGACAGCCCCGUACACAAAAAUGCACAUGCUGUGAGCUCGAUGAGUAGGGCGGGACACGUGGUAUCCUGUCUGAAUAUGGGGGGACCAUCCUCCAAGGCUAAAUACUCCUGACUGACCGAUAGUGAACCAGUACCGUGAGGGAAAGGCGAAAAGAACCCCGGCGAGGGGAGUGAAAAAGAACCUGAAACCGUGUACGUACAAGCAGUGGGAGCCCUGAUUUAUCAGGGUGACUGCGUACCUUUUGUAUAAUGGGUCAGCGACUUAUAUUCUGUAGCAAGGUUAACCGAAUAGGGGAGCCGGAGGGAAACCGAGUCUUAACUGGGCGUUAAGUUGCAGGGUAUAGACCCGAAACCCGGUGAUCUAGCCAUGGGCAGGUUGAAGGUUGGGUAACACUAACUGGAGGACCGAACCGACUAAUGUUGAAAAAUUAGCGGAUGACUUGUGGCUGGGGGUGAAAGGCCAAUCAAACCGGGAGAUAGCUGGUUCUCCCCGAAAGCUAUUUAGGUAGCGCCUCGUGAAUUCAUCUCCGGGGGUAGAGCACUGUUUCGGCAAGGGGGUCAUCCCGACUUACCAACCCGAUGCAAACUGCGAAUACCGGAGAAUGUUAUCACGGGAGACACACGGCGGGUGCUAACGUCCGUCGUGAAGAGGGAAACAACCCAGACCGCCAGCUAAGGUCCCAAAGUCAUGGUUAAGUGGGAAACGAUGUGGGAAGGCCCAGACAGCCAGGAUGUUGGCUUAGAAGCAGCCAUCAUUUAAAGAAAGCGUAAUAGCUCACUGGUCGAGUCGGCCUGCGCGGAAGAUGUAACGGGGCUAAACCAUGCACCGAAGCUGCGGCAGCGACGCUGAUGCGUUGUUGGGUAGGGGAGCGUUCUGUAAGCCUGUGAAGGUGUGCUGUGAGGCAUGCUGGAGGUAUCAGAAGUGCGAAUGCUGACAUAAGUAACGAUAAAGCGGGUGAAAAGCCCGCUCGCCGGAAGACCAAGGGUUCCUGUCCAACGUUAAUCGGGGCAGGGUGAGUCGACCCCUAAGGCGAGGCCGAAAGGCGUAGUCGAUGGGAAACAGGUUAAUAUUCCUGUACUUGGUGUUACUGCGAAGGGGGGACGGAGAAGGCUAUGUUGGCCGGGCGACGGUUGUCCCGGUUUAAGCGUGUAGGCUGGUUUUCCAGGCAAAUCCGGAGAAUCAAGGCUGAGGCGUGAUGACGAGGCACUACGGUGCUGAAGCAACAAAUGCCCUGCUUCCAGGAAAAGCCUCUAAGCAUCAGGUAACAUCAAAUCGUACCCCAAACCGACACAGGUGGUCAGGUAGAGAAUACCAAGGCGCUUGAGAGAACUCGGGUGAAGGAACUAGGCAAAAUGGUGCCGUAACUUCGGGAGAAGGCACGCUGAUAUGUAGGUGAAGCGACUUGCUCGUGGAGCUGAAAUCAGUCGAAGAUACCAGCUGGCUGCAACUGUUUAUUAAAAACACAGCACUGUGCAAACACGAAAGUGGACGUAUACGGUGUGACGCCUGCCCGGUGCCGGAAGGUUAAUUGAUGGGGUCAGCGCAAGCGAAGCUCUUGAUCGAAGCCCCGGUAAACGGCGGCCGUAACUAUAACGGUCCUAAGGUAGCGAAAUUCCUUGUCGGGUAAGUUCCGACCUGCACGAAUGGCGUAAUGAUGGCCAGGCUGUCUCCACCCGAGACUCAGUGAAAUUGAACUCGCUGUGAAGAUGCAGUGUACCCGCGGCAAGACGGAAAGACCCCGUGAACCUUUACUAUAGCUUGACACUGAACACUGGUCCUUGAUGUGUAGGAUAGGUGGGAGGCUUUGAAGUGUGGACGCCAGUCUGCAUGGAGCCGUCCUUGAAAUACCACCCUUUAAUGGCUGGUGUUCUAACGUUGGCCCCUUAUCGGGGUUGCGGACAGUGUCUGGUGGGUAGUUUGACUGGGGCGGUCUCCUCCUAAAGAGUAACGGAGGAGCACGAAGGUUGGCUAAUCCUGGUCGGACAUCAGGAGGUUAGUGCAAUGGCAUAAGCCAGCUUGACUGCGAGCGUGACGGCGCGAGCAGGUGCGAAAGCAGGUCAUAGUGAUCCGGUGGUUCUGAAUGGAAGGGCCAUCGCUCAACGGAUAAAAGGUACUCCGGGGAUAACAGGCUGAUACCGCCCAAGAGUUCAUAUCGACGGCGGUGUUUGGCACCUCGAUGUCGGCUCAUCACAUCCUGGGGCUGAAGUAGGUCCCAAGGGUAUGGCUGUUCGCCAUUUAAAGUGGUACGCGAGCUGGGUUUAGAACGUCGUGAGACAGUUCGGUCCCUAUCUGCCGUGGGCGCUGGAGAACUGAGGGGGGCUGCUCCUAGUACGAGAGGACCGGAGUGGACGCAUCACUGGUGUUCGGGUUGUCAUGCCAAUGGCACUGCCCGGUAGCUAAAUGCGGAAGAGAUAAGUGCUGAAAGCAUCUAAGCACGAAACUUGCCCCGAGAUGAGUUCUCCCUGAGACUUAGAGUCUCCUGAAGGAACGUUGAAGACGACGACGUUGAUAGGCCGGGUGUGUAAGCGCAGCGAUGCGUUGAGCUAACCGGUACUAAUGAACCGUGAGGCUUAACCUU
rnacentral:rRNA from 1 species